CACGAACGCUGGCGGCAGGCUUAACACAUGCAAGUCGAGCGCCCCGCAAGGGGAGCGGCAGACGGGUGAGUAGCGCGUGGGAAUCUACCCAUCUCUACGGAAUAACGCAUGGAAACGUGUGCUAAUACCGUAUACGUCCUUCGGGAGAAAGAUUUAUCGGAGAUGGAUGAGCCCGCGUUGGAUUAGCUAGUUGGUGGGGUAAAGGCCUACCAAGGCGACGAUCCAUAGCUGGUCUGAGAGGAUGAUAAGCCACACUGGGACUGAGACACGGCCCAGACUCCUGCGGGAGGCAGCAGUGGGGAAUAUUGGACAAUGGGCGCAAGCCUGAUCCAGCCAUGCCACGUGAGUGAUGAAGGCCCUAGGGUUGUAAAGCUCUUUCACCGGUGAAGAUAAUGACGGUAACCGGAGAAGAAGCCCCGGCUAACUUCGUGCCAGCCGCCGCCGUAAUAC
rnacentral:rRNA from 1 species